rnacentral:rRNA from 1 species
CCUACGGGUGGCAGCAGUGAGGAAUAUUGGUCAAUGGUCGGGAGACUGAACCAGCCAAGCCGCGUGAGGGAUGAAGGUCCUGAGUAUUGUAAACCUCUUUUGUCAGGGAACAAAGGCGGGGACGUGUCCCCGGAUGAGUGUACCUGAAGAAAAAGCAUCGGCUAACUCCGUGCCAGAAGCCGCGGUAAUACGGAGUAUGCGAGCGUUAUCGGGAUUUUUUGGGUUUAAAGGGUGCGCAGGCGGUCUGUUAAGUCAGCGGUGAAAGCCCGGGGCUCAACCCCGGCCCGCCGUUGAGACUGGCAGUCUCGAGUUGGAGAGAAGUAUGCGGAAUGCGCGGUGUAGCGGUGAAAUGCAUAGAUAUCGCGAAGAACUCCGAUUGCGAAGGCAGCAUGCCGGCUCCACACUGACGCUGAGGCACGAAAGCGUGGGUAUCGAACAGGAUUAGAUACCCGGGUAGUC